GGAAGCUUGCCCGAACGGUAAGGGGUGCGGCUGUAACCCGCAAGCAGGCCUAGAGCCUAGGUGGUUCGACUCCAUCAGCUUCCACCA
rnacentral:tRNA from 1 species